ACAUCCCAAAACCCUGGCAUCAGACCCUUUAGGAAUCAUGUUCGUUGAACCUGGGAGUUACGGCAGGUGCAUCAGCAACUAGCCACAGAAGAGCUACGCCCACCGGAGGAGGAUGGUACUGCUCCAAUGGAAUUCUCACUUGGCAUCACAAAGCAAGAGUCUGCACCCAGGUUGCUGAUGGGCUCUGGGAACUCUGAGAAGACAAGCUACUACUAUGCACCGGCCUAGCCAGCUGCAGCUGCCUGGAAGAAUGCCCUGCUGUGGAAAAUGGAAAGAGGCUCAGUUCAGUGCACUUGAGGUGGGAUGCACUCGCUGCCCAUAGAAGCAGAUGCAUGACUUUCUAACUCAGCCACAGCUGCGAUCACAGGUGGACCCACCAGGACAUGACGGGCAACAGCUACACACAGAUACAUAUCAUAACCCCCGUCUACUCCUUUCACCGUGAGAAUCUUGGGCAACUUCUACAGAGAGCAAUUAGGCAAUGUUUCCGAAUGAAAAACGCAUGUGCCACUUGAUCAGGAAGCUCAGAUUCUAGAGAUUUGCCGUAUUAAUACUCUUGCUCAUGUGUGAAAUGUCAUAUAUACAGUAUUUAUUGAAGCAACGUUCAUAAUGGCAAACAAAUUGGGAGGAAAAGAACUAAGCAUCAAUCAAUAUGGAGCCCGUCAAACAAGUAAAGAUAGAUCCAUGGA